rnacentral:rRNA from 1 species
AGAGUUUGAUCAUGGCUCAGGAUGAACGCUAGCGGCAGGCUUAAUACAUGCAAGACGAACGGUAACUGGAGUAGCAAUACUUUAGCUAGAGUGUCGUACGGGUGCGUAACACGUAUGCAACCUACCUUGUACAGGCGGAUAGCUCGGGGAAACCCGAAUUAACCCGCCAUAAUAUGUUGGUGUGGCAUCACACAGGCAUUAAAACUGAGGUGGUACAAGAUGGGCAUGCGUCUGAUUAGUUAGUUGGCGGGGUAACGGCCCACCAAGACGAUGAUCAGUAGGGGACCUGAGAGGGUGAUCCCCCACACUGGAACUGAGAUACGGGCCAGACUCCUACGGGAGGCAGCAGUAGGGAAUAUUGGUCAAUGGGGGAGAGCCUGAACCAGCCAUGCCGCGUGCAGGAAGAAGGCGUUAUGCGUUGUAAACUGCUUUUGCCAGGGGAUAAAAAGACCGUGCGCGGUUAAUUGAAGGUACCUGGUGAAUAAGCCACGGCUAACUACGUGCCAGCAGCCGCGGUAAUUC